UAUUAGCGCGAUUAGUGGAACACAUAUAUGUGCUUAUGUAUCACAAGCAAAUCAAAUACUAUUUAUUGGUAGAAAAGGUGUACCAACUCAUAAUAUAAUGACUGCAUGUAACUUUAACAUGCAAUUUACAUUUGUUUAGGCUAGGUGGAAAGGUAGUACACACGAUAGAAGAAUAUUUCAUAAGGCGAUUGACAAUCCAAAUAUAAGAUUUUUGAAGCCACCAGAAGGGAAGUAUUAUCUCAUUGAUUCGGGAUAUCCAAAUAAGUAUGGUUACUUAGGACCAUAUAAAGGUAAGAGAUAUCAUAUUUCAGAAUUUCAUUAAUGAGGACAACCGCAAAGUUAGGAAGAAAUAUUCAACCUUGUUCAUUCAUCGUUACGAUGUGUAAUAGAACAUACAUUUAGAGUUU